GAUGGUCCAUUCAAAUUUCUGCCCUAUCAACUUUCGAUGGUAGAGUAGUGGUCUACCAUGGUUUCAACGGGUAACGGGGAAUUAGGGUUCUAUUCCGGAGAGGGAGCCUGAGAAACGGCUACCACAUCCAAGGAAGGCAGCAGGCGCGCAAAUUACCCAAUCCCGGCACGGGGAGGUAGUGACAAUAAAUACUGAUACAGGGCUCUUUUGGGUCUUGUAAUUGGAAUGAGUACAAUUUAAAUCCCUUAACGAGGAACAAUUGGAGGGCAAGUCUGGUGCCAGCAGCCGCGGUAAUUCCAGCUCCAAUAGCGUAUAUUAAAGUUGUUGCAGUUAAAAAGCUCGUAGUUGAACUUCAGAUCUGGUUGAGUGGUCCGCCUAACGGUGUGUUACUGCUUGACUGGGUCUUGUCUCUUGGUGAACCGUUGUGUUCUUUAUUGGAUGCUUCGGGGACCAGGACUUUUACCUUGAGAAAAUUAGAGUGUCCAAAGCAGGCCUAUGCCCGAAUACAUUAGCAUGGAAUAAUAGAA
rnacentral:rRNA from 1 species